CAACAAGAAUAAUAUUUCAAAUAAGAAAAUGAUUGAAAAUCAAUAAUUUCGUUUGACAAGAGCUAUUGAAGUAGAAUAUAUAAUUUAUCAUUUAAUAUAUUUUAUUCUUUAUACUUUUAUCCAGAUCAUUCGGCUUUUGCAGAUAUUUGGAAAAUUAAUUUAUUUCUUCUCGGUUUGUCACUUUAUAGUCUUUUAUAUGUAUUCAAUCUGAUAAAGAGUAGAAAGAGCAUGGUCUGUUUUUAUUUACUUGGGUCUUUUAGGACAAAGCUUUUAUCGUCGUCGAUAGGUGUCAAUCAAAAACAAGUUCCCCUGAUUAGUUGUUCGUUAAAUUUAGUAUACUCGUACAAUGUGACUGUUUUCGCGGGCCCUUUGCCAGGGUAGAUUUCGCCGAUCGACGAACUCCCAAAGUAUUCGUCACGGUGAAAUCACAACGAGCCAAGGUGCGAUGUUCUAACUUCUUUCUAUCGCUUCGUUCUCACGUGUCUUUUUAUAUUGAAAGGGAACAAUAUUUAAAUAAAACCGCAUUUCGCAAGAACGCAAAUAAAAUCAAAGUGCAGACAUAAGUGUUAAUUAUUUACAAAAGCAAUCGAAUGACGACAAUGGAUUUGCCUGAGCGCAUCACAUUCCGCGCUAAAAGGAAGGUUUUGUGGAACAUACGGAGAACGUUAUUUUGGGAUUAGAGUACUAUCGCGGUGAGUCACAAAUUCAAAGUUCUCGCCCCGAACAAGUUCCCCUUCCUCUGCUGUUAUAGAACAACGGCGAGGCCAUCGGCAAAUAACAAUUUAAUAAUUGUGCUAUACGUAUAUGAUAAGAAAGCAAGAAAUUAUGUAUUCCAUAAAAUAAAAUAGAAGUAUAAAUAUUAACAAAAAUGAAAACGAGAGAGAAAACUUCGUUAAAAUUUUCUAUUACUAAACAAAUGAAAAGCGUAAUAUUUAUAACACAAUGUAUCUACUUAUAAAUCAUUUGUUAUCGUUCGUAUUGUAACUGUUUAAAACAAUUUUUCCAUAAUCAAAAGCAAAAUUAACUAAAACAAAAUUUAUAAUUUAAAUAUUUUAUAAUAAAGGUAAUAAAAAACUUACUUUGUGCGGUAUUCUUUAUCUUUAGAAUAGGAGAUUCCAAUGGUGAA